GACAGAGGGUGCAAACGUUGUUCGGAAUUACUGGGCGUAAAGCGCGUGUAGGCGGCCCUGCAAGUCGGAUGUGAAAUCCCACGGCUCAACCGUGGAAGUGCAUUCGAAACUGCAGGGCUAGAGUCCUGGAGAGGAAGGUGGAAUGCUUGGUGUGAGAGGUGAAAUCGUAGAUAUCAAGCGGAACACCGGUGGCGAAGGCGGCCUUGCUGGACAGUG
rnacentral:rRNA from 1 species